rnacentral:rRNA from 1 species
GACGAACGCUGGCGGCGUGCUUAACACAUGCAAGUCGAACGGAAAGGCCCUGCUUUUGUGGGGUGCUCGAGUGGCGAACGGGUGAGUAACACGUGAGUAACCUGCCCUUGACUUUGGGAUAACUUCAGGAAACUGGGGCUAAUACCGGAUAGGAGCUCCUGCUGCAUGGUGGGGGUUGGAAAGUUUCGGCGGUUGGGGAUGGACUCGCGGCUUAUCAGCUUGUUGGUGGGGUAGUGGCUUACCAAGGCUUUGACGGGUAGCCGGCCUGGGAGGGUGACCGGCCACAUUGGGCCUGAGAUGCGGCCCAGACUCCUUCGGGAGGCAGCAGUGGGGACUAUUGCACAAUGGGCGGAGGCCGGAUGCAGCAACGCCGCGUGCGGGAUGACGGCCUUCGGGUUGUAAACCGCUUUCGCCUGUGACGAAGCGUGAGUGACGGUAAUGGGUAAAGAAGCACCGGCUACCUACGU